rnacentral:rRNA from 1 species
UAGGGAAUCUUCGGCAAUGGACGAAAGUCUGACCGAGCAACGCCGCGUGAGUGAAGAAGGCCUUCGGAUCGUAAAACUCUGUUGUUAGAGAAGAACAAGGACGUUAGUAACUGAACGUCCCAUGACGGUAUCUAACCAGAAAGCCACGGCUAACUACGUGCCAGCAGCCGCGGUAAUACGUAGGUGGCAAGCGUUGUCCGGAUUUAUUGGGCGUAAAGCGAGCGCAGGCGGUUUCUUAAGUCUGAUGUGAAAGCCCCCGGCUCAACCGGGGAGGGUCAUUGGAAACUGGAAGACUUGAGUGCAGAAGAGGAGAGUGGAAUUCCAUGUGUAGCGGUGAAAUGCGUAGAUAUAUGGAGGAACACCAGUGGCGAAGGCGGCUCUCUGGUCUGUAACUGACGCUGAGGCUCGAAAGCGUGGGGAGCAAACAGG